rnacentral:lncRNA from 1 species
GGGUGUAAAGGGAGGAAGAGUGUCGAGUUUUGUGCCAUGAACAGAUUCCGUUUCUGCAGAGGACAGCGUGCAGGGGACACCCUUCGAGGCUUUGGAGCCACCUAGGAAGCAGGCUGGCUGCUGCACAGGCCUCUGCUGGCCUCCUUGCACAUGUCCUUGGUGGGUGAGGCAGCCACGUGAGAUGGCUUCCGGCACUGCUGGCGUGAGUAGUCUUCCUGGCAAUGCCAGCUCUUGCCGUCCUCACCUCCUGGCCCCAGUGGCCCGCAUGACGCUCUCUGUUCUACACAGCCCUCCUGGUCUUCAGUGCCCUGGGAAACAUCCUUGCCCUUUGCCUUACCUGUCAAAAGAGCAGGAAGAUCAACUGCACAGGCAUCUACCUGGUGCACCUGGCUGUGUCUGACCUGCUGUUCACCGUGGCCUUACCGGGAAGGGUGGUGUGUUAUGUGCUGGGCUCCAGCUGGCCUUUCGGCAAGGGGCUCUGCAGGCUGACGGCGUUUGUGCUCUACACCGACACCUACGGGGGGUCUACCUCAUGGCCUGUGUGAGCGUGGACCAUUACCCAGCUGUGGUCUGUGCCCACUGGGGCCCGCGCCUCCGCACGGCUGGCCGCGCCAGGCUGGUCUGCGUGGCCAUCUGGACCUUGGUGCUGCUGCAGACGAUGCCCUUGCUCUUGAUGCCCAUGACCAAGCCGCUGGUGGGCAAGCUGGCCUGCAUGGAGUACAGCAGCAUGGAGUCAGUCCUCGGGCUGCCCCUCAUGGUCCUGGUGGCCUUUGCCAUUGGCUUCUGUGGGCCAGUGGGGAUCAUCCUGUCCUGCUAUAUGAAGAUCACCUGGAAGCUGUGCAGCACAGCUGGGAGAACCCAGUGACCAGCGGGAAAGGACACCACCGGCGGGGCAGCCCAGGAGGACCCAGUGACCAACAGGAAAGGACGCCACCGGCGGGGCAGCCCAGGAGGACCCAGUGACCAGCGGGAAAGGACACCACCGGCAGGACAGCCCGAGAGGACCCAGUGACCAGCGGGAAAGGACGCCACCGGCGGGACAGCCCGGGAGGACCCAGUGACCAGCAGGAAAGGACGCCACUGGCGAGGCUGCCUGCUUACGCUGCUGAUGCUGGUGGCCGUGGUGGUCUGCUUCAGCCCCUACCACCUCAACAUCAAGCAGUUCAUGGCGAGAGGGAUGCUCCACCUGCCAUCCUGUGCCGAGCGGAGGGCUUUCUUACUGUCCCUUCAGGCCACCGUGGCCCUCAUGAACAUGAACUGUGGCAUUACCCCAUCAUUUACUUCUUUGCAUCCACCCAUUACAGGAAAUGGCUCCUGGGCAUUUUAAAGCUCAAAGGGUCUUCCUCCUCCUCCUCCUCCUCCUCCUCCACCCCAGGAAAAGCUUCUUCAGAAACACCAAGUAUCACCCAGGCCAGAGGUUCUAUGUUCUUAGCGGAGCACGUGGUCUAACGUGUCAUUUGCUUUAUGACUGUAUCUAGGGAGGGGUCCAGCGUUGGGGUAUUGAAGUUGAUACAAUUUGGGCAAAAGGUUUUUUAAGGAAAAGAAUACAGAAUAAGAAAUACAAAAUUAGGCCGGGCGCGGUGGCUCACGCCUGUAAUCCCCGCACUUUGGGAGGCCAAGGUGGGCGGAUCACCUGAGGUCAGGAGUUCGAGAGCAGCCUGGCCAACAUGGUGAAACCCCAUCUCUACUGAAGUACAAAAAUUAGCCAGGUGUGAUGGUGGGCACCUGUAAUCCCAGCUACUCAGGAGGCUGAGGCAGCAGAAUCACUUGAACUCGGGAGGCAGAGGAUGCAGUAAGCCGAGAUCGCACCACUGCACUCCAGCCUGGGCGACAAGAGCAAGACUCCGUCUCAAAACGAAAGAAAGAAAGAAAGAAAUACAAAAUUAGAGACAGGGUCUUUGAAGGGACAGUGUAAGGAUGGAGCCCUGAAGUUUGGACUUCAGUAUCCUGACAAACACAGCUCUAAUAUCUCUUAGUAAAUGGUAGUGGAGUUCCUUCGCCCCUAAAGGGGUGUGGGGUGUUUUUUUCCAGGAAAAGUCUAUUUUCAUGGUAAAUGCAGAAGAGCCUGAAAGAAGUGGCUGAGCACUAGAUCAGCAAUUUAGAGGAUGCUUCCCGUUUGGGGGGUGAAAUGCUGUAAAGAGCAAGAACACUUCCCCUUCUCUUACAGAGAAACUUCCCAAUUCUUAGCCUUAACAUUUACUAAAAUGUCAAGGUUUUUCUGAAAAACUUGGAAAACACAGGGAGGAUGCACAGCCAGGCGCUGAGCUGAUGCCUCUGCAGAGGGUCGGGAGGGACUGUGCCAAGUGGGGAAGGGACUUCGUGUGCUUUUGUGUGGUGGUUUGGAUCUUGUGCAAUGUGAAAGCAUUCACGGAUGCACGUGUCAUUGGGAAGAACAGGGGGAAAGGAAACAGUCAGAAAAGCAGGCCCUUUUUUUUUCAUUUGUUUAGUGUCAGAAAGGCUGUAUCCAUUUAAAUGCUGCUUACAUUAGAUCGAAACAAACCUUUGCAAGACCGAACUUUGAAAGAAGUUUCAUUGCAACUUCUUCAGACUUACUGAGGCAAUUUUUUUUCUUUUUUUUCUUUUUUUUUUUUUUAGACAGUCUCGCCCUGUCACCCAGGCUGGAGUGCAAUGGCACAAUCUCGCCUCACUGCAACCUCCACCUCCCCGGUUCAAGCGAUUCUCCUGCCUCAGCCUCCAGAGUAGCUGGGAUUAUAGGCACAUGCCACCAUGCCCAGCUAAUUUUUUCUAUUUUUAGUAGAGAUGUGGUUUCACCUUGUUGGCCAACCUUGUCUCGAACUCCUGACCUCCUGAUAUACCCGCCUCAGCCUCCCAAAGUGCUGGGAUUACAGGCGUGAGCCACUGCGCCCGGCCAAGUCUGAUGCCAUUUAUGGAGCAUUUUGACGUGGGUGAUUUUGUGUUUCGUAAAGCAUUAGGUUGGUGCAAAACUGCUGUUCUGCCGUGACUUGUGCACCAACCUAAUAGAAUGUGUGCUUUCCUGCCAAGCGCAUGUUCCUGACGACAGUCCCUGGCCUUUCCCUCUGCCCCCACCGUCCCCCCACACUCCGGCGGUUCAGACAGGAAUAAGCGUGGAGUCCUGCCUCAAGCCCUCCCCAGUCGCUGUCCCCCAGAGACCCUCUUCUCUCCUGAUGCUUCUUGCAUCUUCCAAUUUCCGGCUACGUUUUGGACAUUUGACUCUCUUCAAGGCAGAACUUCACAUACACUUUCUUGAGUGGGGAAUGUCUCAUCCUGUGACGUUGUGAUAAAAUAAGAAAUACGUAUUUGGUCUUUCCCCUAGUUCCUGGCAUAGAGCUCCUAAAACCUUGGAAUUUUCCAAGAGACAGGGGUGAGAGGGCAUCUUUCGUUCUUCAUCAUGAGCCCUUUUCCAUCACACUUGAGUUUAUGCCAAUGAGGCAACUCUUGCCUGGACCCAGAAGAUAAGGUUGGUUGCUGGAGGAACCACCAUAUGGUUAGAGGGUUGGAACUUUCAGCCCCAUCCCCUAGCUCCUGGGGAAAGGAGACAGGCCAAAGAUUGAGUCCAAUCACCAAUGAUUUAAUCAAUCACAUCUCUGUAAUGGACCCUCCAUAAAACCCCGAAGUGAUGCAGUUCUAGAAGCUUCUGGUGGUGAACUCCACAUGCCUGGAGGAUGGUACAUGUCAAACUCCGUGGGAACAGAAGCCCCUGAAAUCAGGCCCUUUCCCAACCUAGGCACCUCUUCAUCGGGAUGCUUGUCUAUAUCCUUUAUGUAUUAUAUCCUUUCGAAUAAGCUGGUAAUUAAUAGUAAGUAAAGUGUCCCUUGAGUGCUGUGAGCUGUCAUAGCAAAUUAUCCAACCUGAGGAGGGGAACCCUCGAUUUGUAGCCAACUUGGACAGAAGCGUGGUAACCUGAGGGCCCACUACUUGAGACUGGCAUCUGAAGUGGGGGGCAGUCUUGUGGGAUGGGGCCCUAACCCUGGGGGGGCCUGCACUAACUCUGAGUAGCUAGUGUCAGGAUCGAAUUAAAUUGUGGGACAUCCAGUUGGUGUCCACAGAGAACUGGUUGUUGGUGUAUAAAAAAGCACUUUUUUUCCACUUACAUCCUGGCAACUGGACUGCAAGGUCCUGAAGGAAAUGUCUGCUCUGGCACCCUUGCUUGAUGCCCCGGACAGCUGGCACUACCCCAGGCAGGGAGCUAGCGCUCCAGAUGCCCCCACUAGUUUGAAUGGAUGAGGAUCAUUUCUCUUAUGAAGUCUGAUUUGUCAAAUCCUACGAAAAACCCUCAGGAGCUCAUGUUGAGGUCCUGGGCACACUUCUUCUCCAUGUCUGCUUCCAGCUUGGAGGCAGAGAGGCUCAAAGUCUCAAAGAACUUGGAACUCUGCUCUUGGGGCCCUGUGAAUUCAGGAGUGAAGAACCUCAGCUGAAAGGUCCCCUCUGCAUCCGCUGGUGGCUGCUCUGAGCAAAUCCUGUAGGUGCCCAGUAGUUUGCUUCCACACCUGGCCGGGAUUAAAAGCAAAGCUCACACCCCUGAUGCAUUUGCACUAACCGAGCACUUCUCACAGGGCAUGAAG